rnacentral:lncRNA from 10 species
CCACAACUCCCGCAGGAAAGCCUAAGGAAUAAUGCCCAUGGAGGACUGUAAUAAAGGCAUAGUCCCACAGAGUCUCUCUCUUUCUCUGUCUCUUGACCCCCACUCGCUGGCUGAGCUCCCUGUCACCUGAACUUCCCAUAGGCCUCCUGUUGGCACUCUUAUCUCUGGGACAUGAUCCCUUCGUUUGAGGUAGGAUAUGGAAUCGCAUCCACUCUGAUUUGUUGCCAGCAGUGUUCUCCAACUUAAUUAUCCUCUGUGAUCCACACUAAAGUAUUUUGAAGAAUAACAAAGCUCUCCAAGGGUCUUAAUACAGCAGUCCCCGACGGGCUUUUCUGUUUCCUACCGCGUUGUGAAGGAGAUUCUUGCUGCUUCUUCGCUUUCUGCCAUGAUUGCAAGUUUCCUCCGGCCUCCCCAGCCAUGUGGAACUGAAAUGCAUUCACCAUCUCAAGACUUUUUGUCAUGCGUUUUGGAAACUCCGUCCAGCAUAAAUACAAAUUAACAUUUCACUGAAGUAUUUGUUUUAUUGUCUUAAUUAGACUCUGCCACAAGGGAAGCCUUUUAUUUGAAGAUGCUCCUAAAGGAGUGGAUGGUUUUCCUGUUUGUCGUAGUUAAUAUUUAGUGUCAACUUGAUUGAAGAAUGCAAAGUAUUGUUCCUGGG